rnacentral:tRNA from 1 species
CAUUAAGUAACUAAUAAUAGUAUUGGUCUCUUAAACCAAAUAAUGGUAUAAUUAAAUACCCUUAAUGA